rnacentral:tRNA from 1 species
ACUAAUUUGGCAGAAAUUUUAUAGUGUAAUAAAUUUAGGAUUUAUGGAUGUUGUAUUGUGUUACAACAGUUAGUA